CCUACGGGAGGCAGCAGUGGGGAAUAUUGGACAAUGGGCGAAAGCCUGAUCCAGCAAUGCCGCGUGAGUGAUGAAGGCCUUCGGGUCGUAAAGCUCUUUUACCAGGGAUGAUAAUGACAGUACCUGGAGAAUAAGCUCCGGCUAACUCCGUGCCAGCAGCCGCGGUAAUACGGAGGGAGCUAGCGUUGUUCGGAAUUACUGGGCGUAAAGAGUACGUAGGCGGUUAUUCAAGUCAGAGGUGAAAGCCCGGGGCUCAACCCCGGAACUGCCUUUGAAACUAGAUAACUAGAGUCUUGGAGAGGUUAGUGGAAUUCCGAGUGUAGAGGUGAAAUUCGUAGAUAUUCGGAAGAACACCAGUGGCGAAGGCGACUAACUGGACAAGUACUGACGCUGAGGUACGAAAGCGUGGGGAGCAAACAGGAUUAGAUACCCUGGUAGUCCACGCCGUAAACGAUGAUAACUAGUUGUUCGGUCACUUGGUGACUGAGUGACGCAGCUAACGCAUUAAGUUAUCCGCCUGGGGAGUACGGUCGCAAGAUUAAAACUCAAAAUGAAAUUGACGG
rnacentral:rRNA from 1 species